AUUGAACGCUGGCGGCAGGCUUAACACAUGCAAGUCGAACGAGCUUGGAACUUCGGUUCCCGAUGCUAGUGGCGCACGGGUGAGUAACACGUGGGAACGUACCCUUUAGUACGGAAUAACUCAGGGAAACUUGAGCUAAUACCGUAUGACUCCUUCGGGAGAAAGAUUUAUCGCUAAAGGAACGGCCCGCGUCUGAUUAGGUAGUUGGUGAGGUAACGGCUCACCAAGCCGACGAUCAGUAGCUGGUCUGAGAGGAUGAUCAGCCACACUGGGACUGAGACACGGCCCAGACUCCUACGGGAGGCAGCAGUGGGGAAUAUUGGACAAUGGGGGCAACCCUGAUCCAGCCAUGCCGCGUGAGUGAAGAAGGCCUUCGGGUUGUAAAGCUCUUUCGACGGGGACGAUGAUGACGGUACCCGUAUAAGAAGCCCCGGCAAACUUCGUGCCAGCCGCCGCCGUAACAC
rnacentral:rRNA from 1 species